rnacentral:lncRNA from 1 species
UCUAAACUCGUUCAAAUGCUGAGGGUUAUCGACUUUAGGUAUCAAAGACAUAAAAGACUUAUUUGUCCCCAUUAGCCAUCUUUCGCUAACCUCAAAGUUAUGCACUACCCUUAUAUAUAACAUCCAUUUUAAUCUCUUUCCAACAAAACUUAAUGAACUAAAAGUUGAAGUCAUCAGGUUCCAGACUUUUUGUACUAUCACAGCUCCACACAACACACUUUAUUUACUUUUUGUACUAUCACAACUCCACACAACACACUUUAUUUCCUCUUCGGUUAUAU